GCGCGUGCCGUUCCUCUUCACCAUCAAGAAUCUGGUCGCCACCGGCAAGCCGGAGAGCUUCGGCGGGCCCUUCCUCGUGCCCAGCUACCGUGGUUCGUCCUUCCUCGACCCAAAGGGCCGCGGUGGCUCUACCGGCUACGACAACGCUGUGGCGCUCCCCGCCGGAGGCAGAGGAGACGAGGAGGAGCUCGCUAAGGAGAACGUCAAGAACGCCUCGUCGUCGACGGGCAACAU
rnacentral:lncRNA from 1 species